AGCCCUUUUAUUUCACUUUAACAUUUGUCCAAGCAAUAAGCAGACCUUCUGAAAAAACUUUUCCACAUUUAGGUUUCCAACAAUACCAGAUUUCAUUGCAUGACUAUGAAGACUGCGUGGUCCCUCAAAGCUCCACUGAAGAGACAGUUCCUGAUCUAUGGAAGCUUGUAAACAGAGCUCCACAGACAAGAAAGGCCGCCGGCCUGGGAGUGAAGAUUCCAGCACAACCACACUGGAUGGGCAUACAUUUAAGCCAGGAUAGACUGAGCCAAAGGAAAAAAAGAAGCAGAUCGCAGACCAUGCAAUGGCCACAUCCUGUCUGUCCCAUCCUACAUCCCAAGCAAGAUACCAGGACAGUACCAUUCCUGAGUUCCAGAGACCCGAGAAAAGAAAUAUUUUCUGGGAUACAAAAUUCAUUGUAUGGAAGAAAUGAACAUCAGUGCAGAAAUUGA
rnacentral:lncRNA from 1 species